UUCAAAGAAAAUGGCGUGUUGAAUGGCACCAACAUGAUUUUCAUAAGGAAAAAUUUCCAAAUCAGUCACACAAUACACGAGAAGAGGUAAAAGAAGGGCUUUGCUGUCUGAUCCUUUUCGGGUAAAAAAUGAUAAACCGUGACUUAGCCGAAAUAUCGGCGUCACAACUCAGGAAGUAAUGUCAACUAGUCAGGCACAGACAGCAUUGCCAUUGAAAGAAGAAACAAAACAGAAAUAUCCACAUGACAUUCAGAUUGGUCAUAGUAAUCAGCUGGUAAUGAUAUUGAGGGUAAUGAAAUCAUUUUUAGAAAAUGUAAAACGAGUCGACACAAGUUUUCCCGAUGUACUCGGUUUUACCUGAGACUACUACUGAGACUACUAUAACACAUGUAGUCUCAGGUUUUACAUACAGUGCUGUUUGCAACGCCGUAUCCUUCAAUUUCAUUAAAGACAUUAACUUGAACGGUGUAUAAAAUGCUUGCAAAAGUGAGAAAACAACAUAAACGCCAACGUGUAAAAAGAUUUUAUUUAAAAAAUUGAUUGAUUAAACGAGAUUACUCCGGAAGAAUUCCGAUUUUGAUUCCGUUUUAUAUUUUAUUUUAGCUCUCUACGUGUGAGGUAGAAAAGGUAAACAAAAACAAAGUUUCUUUUUUUCUCUCUUUUGAAAUACGCUAUAUAAAAAAAAACCAGGCAGCUAAUAUUAGUACCUAUUGCAAGAUUGUCAUAUUAACAUAAAAGUGUAAUCAAAUUCAGUUCUAGAAUUAACAAAUAAAAUUUGUUCGGUGUAGAAAAAAAAACCUUUACCGGGAUUGCGGCUUGCCAAACUGAAAACACCAUCAAAUGGCAUCAUACUGAAGGUGUGCCUAUAUUGAAGUAGAAGUAGAUAAUAACUUUAUAUAAACCCUUAAGUGAUUAAUUGUUGUCUACUCUUAAACAGUGAUAUCUUUAGAUAGAUGUUUUAGAUUUUAAAGUAUUUAAAGGUGUUGAUGCAGUCUGGGAACAGUAUAUGUCAAUAUAUAUGUUCCUGAUGCAGUCUAAAUUGACAUUAAGCCCAAUUUUAUCGUCAAGAAUGUAAAUAAUGUACAGUGAUAUUGGUGGAAGAUAUUUUUAUUCAUGUUGUUAAAUACACUACUCGGAAGAGGUGUGCCUACAUUGGCAGAAGCUAUAUAACAAGAUACAGAUUGGCAGAAAAUAUAAAGAUACAGAUACAUGGACCUGCUAACGCACAAAUUCUUCAUUAGAGAAGACGUUGAAGAACUAACAUGACGGUACCCAAAUUGCACCUAUUUUGACAGUUUUUUCACCUACGUUUUUUUAUGAUGCAGACAAAAGUUUCCAAUCUGUGUUUAUUUUGUAGAUGUAUACUUGUUUACUAUAUAGUUACACCUAUUUAAUUUUGAAUCCAUAUUGAAUCAUUGAAAAAUGAGUAUGAACUGACCUCCAAACGAUCCAGGAUUCCAUUACGAGGAGUACCCAAAUUGCAUCGGCCAGCCGGCCAUGCUUAAACUCACAUCCUUAAGAAUUGAAUAACAGCUAGAUGUUUUGUUCCAUUUCUUCAAAUAUUUAGAACAAUUUGACAUUAGUCCAUGCUUACUAUCCAUUUAAUAAGAAAUGAUGACUUUUUGAGAACUUCGCAUGACGACGAUUCCGUAGAUUUACUUUUUCCAGUGAAAGCUUCAUCUGUUGAUAUUUACUGUGAACGUUUUGUGUAUAUUUAAAUAUAUUCAGCUAUGUUAAAAGUCGUGUGUAAUGUCAAAUUAUAAAAAUACUAAGUGUUUAUUCUUAAAGAAAACUUGUAAGAUUUCCACAGCUGUUUUUGUUGAAUAUGUGCAAUUUGUGUACUCAGUGCAAUUUGGGCACUGUUACGUUAUAUCUGUUCUCUACAGAGCUAAGUAUUUAGUGACAAUCUAUUUUCUUAUUGGAUAAUGUAUCUGGUCUAAAAAAAAAUAGUUUGCCACAAGUAUUUAGUGACAAUUAUCUAUUCCUGUAUUAGAUGAUGUAUCUGGUGUGAUUUUUUUAUUAUUUUACCACUGAAUGAAUCACCAAUCAAACUAUAUAAAUAGAUUGAAGUUAAAAAAAAUAUCUGGAAAAUUAACUGAAUCCCAAGACAGAAUGAAUAAUAUAAUUAUAACUUUUUUGUUAUGCCCAACUGCUAGUCGAAGGGGCAUUAACUUUUACUGUUGUCAUGAUGUCCAUCCAUACAUAUGUCUGUCUGUACAGAAAUUGGUUUCCAUUUUCUUACUUUAUUUGCACUCAAUUAUUUUUUUCACAGAACACAGAUCAAUUUAUUCGAAUUUGAGUGGCAUCACUUUGACCGUUCGUGAGUUAUGCCCCUUUAUUAACGCAAAAAUUGCUGAAUCUUUCUUUUCUUGUCUCUAACUUUAGUUUGUCCCAACAAAUGUUAUAAAACUUAUACACUACUUAUUACCACAAAACACAGAUCAAGUUUGAAUUCUACUCCCGUCACUGUAACUGUUCUUGAGUUACAUGUAUUUAUGCUCCUUUAUUAUUAAAUGGAAAAAAUUGCCAAAUCUGUGGUGGAUCCGACAAACUGUUGUAUACCGAUUUUAUUUAUUUAGAUAUGAUUUACAAACUUCAGAAAAGGUUGAGAAGCAUUUUAAUUCUAGGGAAUUCCAACCUGAAGCAAGUUGUACCAAUGGAAUUGAUGGAAGCCCCCAUUAGAACACAGUGAGUGUGCAUAACUGGGGUUGCAACUUCACCAUCUCAUACAGCAUCUAGUUCAUCAAAGAUGACCUAUGCUGAAGUGGUGAGACUUCCUGUGCAUGCAACAGGUCAGACCAAACUAAAACCACGUUUGAUAUUAAGUGUAUGGAAAUGAAGAAAUCAAUUGGAGUCCAUACAUUUAAAAGGAGGAGUGUGUCUUCAGUUGAGAUUGGUAGAAAAAAAGAAAAAACAAUACAGGGUAAAGACAAGUGAUCUAGUAUUUGGGGUCACCGAGGAUGUGGCUGUAGUCCUACCAAACAAAGCUUUACUGGAACAUAGUUUUUAUCAGAUACCAAAUAAAGAAAAUGCUGUUGAGGAACAGGGGAGUUUCUGUGAUGAGAAUGAUACACAAAGAGCAUUUGAGUGUAAUGAAGUUGAGAGUAGUAUUUUAACCAAAAGAACAUCUGCCUUAACAACAGUGAAGGUUUUAGUGAGCAGGUGUUAUUUGGUGAUGUUGAAAGAAAUCCAGGACCUACAAUGGUUUAUCAAGACUAAUCUUAGUGCUUGCCAUACAAGUGUCAAAGAGUGAAGGGCAAGAACAAUUUUAAAGAACAGAGAAGACUUGUUUUAUUGCACUUAGUUUUGAGUUUUUUGUCGAGCCUUCGACUUUAGUCGAAAAAGCGAGACAUAGCGAUCCUACAUUCCGUCGGCGUCGUCGUCGGCGGCGUCCACAAAUAUUUACUCUGUGGUUAAAGUUUUUGAAAUUUUAAUAACUUUCUUAAACUAUCCUGGAUUUCUACCAAACUUGGACAGAAGCUUGUUUAUGAUCAUAAGAUAGUAUCCAGAAGUAAAUUUUGUAAAAAUAAAAUUCCAUUUUUUCCGUAUUUUACUUAUAAAUGGACUUAGUUUUUCUGCCGGGAAAUAUUACAUUCACUCUGUGGUUAAAGUUUUUAAAAUUUUAAUAACUUUCUUAAACUAUCCUGGGUUUGUACCAAACUUGGACAGAAGCUUGUUUAUGAUCAUAAGAUAGUAUCCAGAAGUAAACUUUGUAAAAAAAAAAAUCCAUUUUUUCCUUAUUUUAUUUUUAAAUGGACUUAGAUUUUCUGCCAGGAAACAACACAUUCACUCUUUGGUUAAAGUUUUUAAAAUUUUAAUAACUUUCUUAUUCUAUUUUGGAUUUGUACCAAACUUGGACAGAAGCUUGUUUAUGAUCAAAUGCUAGUAUCUAGAAGGAAAUUUUGUUUUCUUUCAGUUAACAUUACAUACAGUCUGCAGUUAAAGUUUUUAAACAUUUAUUAGAUUCAUAAACUAUCCUGGAUUUUUACCAAACUUGGACAGAAGCUUCUUACAAUCAAAAGAUAGUAUCAAGUGGAAUAUUUUUAUUGAUUUACUUCCUCAUUUUUGUUGAGCCUGCGAUUAACAGAAAAAGUAGGCGAGACACUGGGUUCCGCGGAACCCUUACGAAUUUUUGUUUUAUAUUUUACCACUAUGAUAGAGUAAUGUAACAUUCAGGAAAUGUAUUGUUCUGAUAUAUCUGUUUUAUAAUUUCUCCUUUUCAUAUGCCCGUUUACGGGACGUAAUAUGGUAUACCAUUGACCGUCUGUCCGUCCGUCUGUCCGUCCGUCCGUCGUCAACAUGUCGGACAUUAACUCAAAAAUGCUUUAACCAAUAUGCAUGAAACUUUGGUGAAUUGUUUAUAUCUAUUUACGUGAGCUCUCUUUCAUUUUUUAUAAAUUUUGGAUUUACCGUUUCCGAGUUUUGUGGGUUUUAUUCAUUAAAAAAGAGGGAAUUUUCCAGUUUUUGGACAAUAACUCGAAAUCAAUUUCACCAAUUUGUAAGAAACUUUGGUGAAUUGUUUAUUUCUAUCGACAUGAGCUCCCUUUUGAUUUUUAUAAAUUUUAGACUAGAUGUUUCUGAUUUAUGGGGUUUUAUUCAUUACAAAAAGGGGGAUUUUCCAGUUUUCGGACAAUAACUCAAAAAUGCUUUCAGCAUUUUUUAUGAAUCUUUGGUAAAUUGUUUAUAUCUAUAGUUGUAAGCUCCCAUUUGAUUAUUACAAAUUUAAGAUUUUACGUUUCCAAGUUAUAAGAUUUUAUUCAUAAAAAAGGGGUGAUUUUCAAGUUUUUGGACAAUAUCCUUAAACUGCUUAGAGCAGUUUUCAUUAAACUUUGAUGACUGAUUUAUAUCUAUUAAGAUAACCUCCCUUUAGGUUUUUAUAAAUUUCUGAUAUAACAUUGAUAAGUUAUUGUUUGUUUAUAGUCUGACAACAGAUUUACUAAGUAUUGUGCAACAGCACAGUGUAUUGCACAACAGCAAGAAAUCUUUAAUUGAAUAUAAAUUUAAUUCAUAUAACCAAUUUCAAGUUCUUUGACUACAUUUAUUCAGAAACCUAUAAUAUGUCAAAUAUUUAAUUACAAUCCAAAUUCAGACCUGUAUCAAGCUUGAAUAUUGUGUCUAUUUUUGCCCCAGCUGUUCAGGGUUGGACCUCUGUGGGCGUAUCCAGCUGCGCUCAGCGAAGCAGUUUAUUAGAAAUGUGUUAGAUGUUUUUUUUUAUACCUUUUCCUACUUGAGUACUAUUGACAACUACUUUCUAUAAUUUUUUUAUUUCCUAAUAUUAAGAUGUCAUUCUUGAAUACCUUGUAGGUAUGAACUGGGUUUUUUUCUUCUUGAUAUGUGUAGUAUAAAUCCCCCCCCCCCCCCAAUUAUGUUUAGUUUUGAAAAAAAUAUAUAUACCAUAAGGACUGUCCACUAUGGAUGCCUCUCUAAAUAAAGAUAAGAGAAUCUUGGCAUACAUUAAAUACAAAUUUCUAAAAAAAAAAAAAUUAUGAAGACUCCAUACAAAAAAACUUUGGAAAGUGUCACACCAGUGAUUCUUUUUGUAUAAUUCAGGUUAGUUCUAAAUCUCAUUUUUCAUUGGGGAUUUUCUUCAUUGUAUAGAGGAUGCAUUUAUCAUCUAGUUUAAUAUACCUCACAAUGUGUAAAUGUUGUAAAUACAGAAAAACAUACAUAAUGAUUAUGAUAUGCUAAUACUUCAUUAUUGCAAAUAAUUUUACUUUAAAUACUUCAUUAUUACAAAUAAUUUUACUUUAAAUUAUGAUGAAUAUUUAAACUGGAAUUGACUAUUCACAUUUUAUGCUCGUUGAUUGUUGACAUUAUGUUUUGAAAAACAGAAAGAAGUCAAAGGACUAAGAGUUACAAGAUAGAAAGUCAAAAAGUCACAAUUUAUUAAUUUACAAUUAUUUAAAUGUAUAAAAGGAAAUGCAUUAAAUAUUGUCUCUUUCUAAGAUAAAUUGCUUGUGCAUUAUUAAUGUUUGAAAAUGGUAAAUUUGUUAAUAAUUUGUUUGGUCUAUAAAUUAUAAUAGAUUAAAAUGUCAAUUGAAUUAGUCUUCCUAUUAAAAAAAAAAUCUCUCAAAACCACAUAGUGACCUCUUGCUCUAUAUUUUUUAAUUGGUUACUUUUUUGUCUAUUUUGUUUUAUACCAUAAUAUUAUGCAUGAUAAAUAUAAAUUGUGCUUUAUGCAUGUCACUAAUGUAUAGAUAAUUUUCUUUUAAUGUUGUGUAAACUUA